CUUUAGCUUGAAUUGUGUGUUCAUCAGUAAAUCACUGAGGUGUUUCACUCCAGAGUCUCUGAGUUCAUUCCCGCUCAGGUUCAGUUCUCUCAGGUGUGAUGGGUUUGAUUUCAGAGCUGAAGUCA